CAGUCGCCGCGGUAAUACGGAGGGGGCUAGCGUUGUUCGGAAUUACUGGGCGUAAAGCGCACGUAGGCGGCUUUGUAAGUAAGAGGUGAAAGCCCGGAGCUCAACUCCGGAACUGCCUUUUAGACUGCAUCGCUUGAAUCCAGGAGAGGUGAGUGGAAUUCCGAGUGUAGAGGUGAAAUUCGUAGAUAUUCGGAAGAACACCAGUGGCGAAGGCGGCUCACUGGACUGGUAUUGACGCUGAGGUGCGAAAGCGUGGGGAGCAAACAGGAUUAGAUACCCCCGUAGUCCCUGUCUCUUAUAC
rnacentral:rRNA from 1 species